rnacentral:rRNA from 1 species
GACGAACGCCGGCGGCGUGCCUAAUACAUGCAAGUAGAACGCUGAAGGAGGAGCUUGCUUCUCUGGAUGAGUUGCGAACGGGUGAGUAACGCGUAGGUAACCUGCCUGGUAGCGGGGGAUAACUAUUGGAAACGAUAGCUAAUACCGCAUAAUAGCAGUUGUUGCAUGACAACUGUUUGAAAGGUGCAAUUGCACCACUACCAGAUGGACCUGCGUUGUAUUAGCUAGUUGGUGGGGUAACGGCUCACCAAGGCGACGAUACAUAGCCGACCUGAGAGGGGGAUCGGCCACACUGGGACUGAGACACGGCCCAGACGCCUACGGGAGGCAGCAGGAGGGAAUCUUCGGCAAUGGACGGAAGUCUGACCGAGCAACGCCGCGUGAGUGAAGAAGGUUUUCGGAUCGUAAAGCUCUGUUGUAAGAGAAGAACGAGUGUGAGAGUGGAAAGUUCACACUGUGACGGUAUCUUACCAGAAAGGGACGGCUAACUACGUG